GAUGAACGCUGGCGGCGUGCUUAACACAUGCAAGUCGAACGAAGCACUUAGCUCUGAUUCCUUCGGGGUGAAGAGUUUUGUGACUGAGUGGCGGACGGGUGAGUAACGCGUGGGUAACCUGCCAUACACAGGGGGAUAACAGCUGGAAACGGCUGCUAAUACCGCAUAACCCGAUAGUGCCGCAUGGUACGGACGGAAAAGAUUUAUCGGUGUAUGAUGGACCCGCGUCUGAUUAGCUGGUUGGUGAGGUAACGGCUCACCAAGGCGACGAUCAGUAGCCGACUUGAGAGAGUGAUCGGCCACAUUGGGACUGAGACACGGCCCAAACUCCUACGGGAGGCAGCAGUGGGGAAUAUUGCACAAUGGGGGAAACCCUGAUGCAGCGACGCCGCGUGAGUGAAGAAGUAUUUCGGUAUGUAAAGCUCUAUCAGCAGGGAAGAUAAUGACGGUACCUGACUAAGAAGCCCCGGCUAACUACGUGCCAGCAGCCGCGGUAAUACGUAGGGGGCAAGCGUUAUCCGGAUUUACUGGGUGUAAAGGGAGCGUAGGUGGCAUGGCAAGUCAGAUGUGAAAGCCCGGGGCUCAACCCCGGGACUGCAUUUGAAACUGUCAGGCUGGAGUGCAGGAGAGGUAAGUGGAAUUCCUAGUGUAGCGGUG
rnacentral:rRNA from 1 species